GAUGAACGCUGGCGGCGUGCCUAAUACAUGCAAGUCGAGCGAACAGACGAGGAGCUUGCUCCUCUGACGUUAGCGGCGGACGGGUGAGUAACACGUGGAUAACCUACCUAUAAGACUGGGAUAACUUCGGGAAACCGGAGCUAAUACCGGAUAAUAUAUUGAACCGCAUGGUUCAAUAGUGAAAGACGGUUUUGCUGUCACUUAUAGAUGGAUCCGCACCGCAUUAGCUAGUUGGUAAGGUAACGGCUUACCAAGGCAAUGAUGCGUAGCCGACCUGAGAGGGUGAUCGGCCACACUGGAACUGAGACACGGUCCAGACUCCUACGGGAGGCAGCAGUAGGGAAUCUUCCGCAAUGGGCGAAAGCCUGACGGAGCAACGCCGCGUGAGUGAUGAAGGUCUUCGGAUCGUAAAACUCUGUUAUUAGGGAAGAACAAAUGUGUAAGUAACUAUGCACGUCUUGACGGUACCUAAUCAGAAAGCCACGGCUAACUACGUG
rnacentral:rRNA from 1 species